AAGUCGUAACAAGGUUUCCGUAGGUGAACCUGCGGAAGGAUCAUUACCAAAUCCAAAAUACCCAACCCCAUGUGAACUAUUGUCUGUCUGUCUUUGGGGGAGCAUUUGAUAUAUAAAAAAACCUUUGGGUUUUUUUCUUCUCUCUUUGCUCCCCCAUAUUUUAUGAAACUACUUUUGAUCUUAACGUUGGAAUAAUAACUUUAUUAAUAAUAAAUAAAGGACAACUUUUAACGGUGGAUCUCUUGGCUCGU
rnacentral:misc_RNA from 1 species